rnacentral:lncRNA from 1 species
AAAUUAGGAAAACAAUUUUUAAAUUAUAAGUUUCAACAAUUAAAAUGAGUUUUUUAGCGAGGAUAGUGUUAGGCCGUGGAAUAGUUAUGCUAUCAAGAAUGCAGUGAGUCCUAAUUUGUAGUCCUUGGGAAAAAUAUUAUUCAAUAUGUGGCUAAAUCAAAGAAAAAUAUAAUAGGUUUGGUUGCUAUAUCCAGUGGGCAGCUGUUAUGGAUCAAGGUCGUACAGAAUAUAUUAUUAUGAAAAAGGGAUCACGACCAUUUAGAAAGGGAUGUCAGCAUCAAAAAUCGAUCCAACCUAUGACGAAGAGAAAGAUCCUCCACCUCGAUGUUUGAUUCAUUUGAGUUGUAAUUGUUUCUUUAUAAGACAUAUGGGAAAGCGGCUGCUUAUUGAAGAGACUAAAAAGAAAUAUAUCAACAAGAAAAGACCCAAGAAAUGUGACAUUUGUCGUAAAGUUGGACAUUUAAAAAGAACGUGUCCAAAACGAAAGCUGUAGUAGAAAGAAACAAAGUUUGCCUAUAUCCCUGCCCUGAUCUCAUACUUAUUCAUAUAAAUCAUUUAUAGUUUAUAACAGAACAUUCCACUGCAUGGGAAAUGUUGUUUCAAUUCAAUUUACAGAAUCCCAACAAAUGUUACAUAUGUAAUUACUUAUUAAUAACUAUUAUUAUUCACUCGGGAAAUUGUGCCGACUCACUUCCAUAUAUAUCUUAAUUAUGCACAUUUUAUUCAAAGACUAACAUGAAGUAUCAAUCAAAUGAAUUUAACAAUGUUUAUUUAAUCGAAUUAUAUUUUAAGUGAUCAAAUACUCUAUGUACGAAUUUAAUAUAAUUAAUUAACAUGAUUCUCUUACUACAAUUAAAAGAAUUGAAAUAUAGAUGAUGGUCUAUUCCUUUUAGUUUUA